CACCAAUCACGCCUGGCGUGGUAUUGGGCGACGGGGUGGCCUUCCCACCCCGCGCCCCAAAGACCUUACCGGCGGGACGGACCGAAUCUCAGCGUUGUGAAUCUUUUACGAGUCGCUGGCGAGACGGGACGGCCGUGCCGUUAAACACCCCCUUCUUUA
rnacentral:misc_RNA from 1 species